CUCUCUUCACCACACAGUUUCACAGAUAUUGAAAUUAAAUUUGGUGUGGCAAUAGAAAAGAGUCAUCCUCAACACACCUCCUUGUUGAAAUCUAUGGCAUUCAAUUCAAAUUCAAAAAUACUUUGAUCCCAGAGGGAAAUUAGGUACUGUUACCCCAACAGAUGACGGCAGCUAUGGCUGUAGCUUACCACCAGUGUGUGAAUGUGCAUGUGAAUGACUGAAGUGUAAAGCUGUACGCAGUAUAUGCUUUAUUAUUUGUAUGGUUAAAAUAACACCACCCACCACAAUAAAAUCUCACAGAAGGAAUGCGUCCAUGUGCGUCGCAAUUCUAAAUGGGAGGGGGUGAGAUCAGGACUUAAUCAGGGUGGUAAAAAAUGUUAAAUGGUGCCUGUUAUGAUGUUCAAGCCCUAGCAUUGGGGUACGAUUCCAGGGGAUAGGUGACCAACGGGGUACAUUGUCUGUGUGAGUGUCCAGUGGGUAAAUGUCUGGGGGGUAAGUGUCUUAGAACCCUUCUGUUUGUGAUGUUAAUGGAGUGUCCAUUAAAUAUAUUAAAAUACACCUUUGGUUGAUGUUAAGAAGUUCCUCAAGUCACUAACAUACAAACUUUGGUUUAGCUUUUUAACUUUUAAGCAGGAGAUAAUAAUAAACUAUUUGUAAAAAGAAAAUUGACACAUGUACACAACUAAAUCAAACAUUCUGAAGCUUCUUGAUUUGCUAAAAUAUAGGUAAAUAAGAAAACAUUACUUAGAUAAAAAGAAACAGAUGGUAUUCACGUAAUUAAGAACAUCUUGAGCAAUUAGCCCUGAGCUUAAACAUGAAAACGAAUGGUUUUCUUUUACAAGAAACAGUUCUUAAAGGAGUUUGCCUCCCAGAACGUAGAUUUCACAGAGAUAAACAGUGUUGGGAUCUAGAGUUUGUCAGUUCCAGUAUUCAUCCACUAAAUGUCCUCCUGGAGCACAGCCUGCAGGAGGGCAGAAUCUCCAGCAGGUGUGCAAGUCCCACACCUGCAAUUCAUCUACCUUCAUCAAGAGGAGGAUAAGAGGAGGAUAAGAGGAGUGUGCAGUCAGCCCUUCGAUGCCUGAGUGUUAAUUCUUGUGGUAACCUCAAGCCCUUAGAGUACUCUCUGAGGUUUUCUCUAAAUUCUCUUGUGCCUAGACCUUUGAGAUAACCUUCUCCUGUUUGUGUUCCUAAAAGGUUACCUCCAUUUAUGGUUUGGACCGGUUCCUCUGAGGUCCUCCAACCUUAAAAAUCAUCUCCAUCUCUCUGUGUUUUUUGGACUCCUCCACCCACAGCUGCCAUCGCAGGACUCCUCUCUCUCCUCAAGGACGUAACCUGUCUGCCCUCCAACCUGCUCAUCAUUCCUUGGCUCACGGACUCAACCCCUCGGAUCCCACUCACCUCUCCCUGGCCGACCUGCUUCAUCUUCAUGUGUUCCUGACUCCCCUGCCCUGCGUCUGCAAGACCACGUUGGACCAAGAUCACUUUCAUUUAAAAUAAACAUCUUAAAACUU